UGGGAUAGUACUGUAUGAGGCGU
rnacentral:miRNA from 1 species